CCUACGGGAGUCAGCAGUGAGGAAUAUUGGUCAAUGGACGAGAGUCUGAACCAGCCAAGUAGCGUGAAGGAUGACUGCCCUAUGGGUUGUAAACUUCUUUUAUAUGGGAAUAAAAUGUUCCACUUGUGGGAUUUUGUAUGUACCAUAUGAAUAAGGAUCGGCUAACUCCGUGCCAGCAGCCGCGGUAAUACGGCGGAUCCGUGCGUUAUCCGGAUUUAUUGGGUUUAAAGGGAGCGUAGGUGGAUUGUUAAGUCAGUUGUGAAAGUUUGCGGCUCAAACGUAAAAUUGCAGUUGAAACUGGCAGUCUUGAGUACAGUAGAGGUGGGCGGAAGUCGUGGUGUAGCGGUGAAAUGCUUAGAUAUCACGAAGAACGCCGAUUGCGAAGGCAGUUCACUGGACUGCAACUGACACUGAGGCUCGAAAGUGUGGGUAUCAAACAGGAUUAGAUACCCUGUAGUC
rnacentral:rRNA from 1 species